rnacentral:rRNA from 1 species
UAGAUACCCUGGUAGUCCACGCCGUAAACGAUGGAUACUAGGUGUAGGAGGUAUCGACCCCUCCUGUGCCGGAGUUAACGCAAUAAGUAUCCCGCCUGGGAAGUACGAUCGCAAGAUUAAAACUCAAAGGAAUUGACGGGGGCCCGCACAAGCGGUGGAGUAUGUGGUUUAAUUCGACGCAACGCGAAGAACCUUACCAGGUCUUGACAUUGAUCGCGAUCUGCAGAAAUGCGGAGUUCUUCUUCGGAAG